CUCUGUUUGCAGUGAGUGUGCAGCUGCAGUGCUACUGUGCCUCAUCGCACUGGUGAGAGUUCAUUCCCAGAGCUUGAGCUGUGUGGGAUGUGCAGAACACAGCUCCGGGGCUGUGAGCGUGUCUCACCUCUGCGGUUACACCAGCACUGCUGGGAGCACAGUGAGCAGCACAGCUGAGCCCCUCCUCGCAGCACACAGCUCGCCUCCUGUGCCCCCUGCAGCUCUUGCUGCCUUGCGUUGCUGGGUGCUGCUCGGAGGGCACCGUGUGGUUUCUUUGCUCGCUUUGGAUGAGGACAGCCCUGCUGUAGGAUGGGCCCUCCUCUGCAGCCUAGGAC
ensembl:lncRNA